UACGUAGGGUGCGAGCGUUGUCCGGAUUUAUUGGGCGUAAAGAGCUCGUAGGCGGCUCGUCGCGUCAGCUGUGAAAACCCGCAGCUUAACUGUGGGCUUGCAGCUGAUACGGGCGGGCUAGAGUUCGGUAGGGGAGACUGGAAUUCCUGGUGUAGCGGUGAAAUGCGCAGAUAUCAGGAAGAACACCAGUGGCGAAGGCGGGUCUCUGGACAGUUCCUGACACUGAGGCACGAAGGCCAGGGGAGCAAACGGG
rnacentral:rRNA from 1 species